rnacentral:ncRNA from 1 species
GUUUAUUUGCCGCCGGGUAAAUAAACCGCAUUUAUCCAUGUAUCCGCAGGCCAUAGGAGAUACAUGAAUAAGUGCUUUUUUUA